rnacentral:lncRNA from 1 species
CCGCCUCUCAGCGCCGGGCGGCAGCGCCGCGGCGGGAGUCUGGUGGGGUAGUAGUUGUGAGCUCCUCGCGUGCCUCUGAAUAGCGGCUGCUCGCAGCAGCGCUCCCGGGUCCUGCUUCAGAACGGAGGCUGUCGGCUACAGGAAGAGCAAGACCUUGAGAAGACUGUUCUGUGGACCUGAGUGCUGAGCUGAAGGCAGGCCGGGAGGUGCAGGGUGCAGAGAAUGCUCAACCCCUUCAGCCAAGUGUUCCAGCUGCUACGUCACAGUGUGUGCUGUCACUGCCUUUAAAAUCAUUUAACUGAUAAGUCACUAUGCCACUGAAAACUGUGCUAAAAUGGAAAUGAAAAGGCAACCUUGAAUAACAAACGAUCCUUAUCUCUGUUUGGAUUAUUGGAGCGGUGUUUGAAGAGCAAAUAUUUCUACGAACAGAUUGUUUACUUUGUCCUGUACUCAUCUGCAGGAAGAAAAUUAGAAUAAUAUUUUCCAUGCUUGUUUAUAGUUACUGCAAUUUUCCUACGAUUGUUCCAUUGAAAUAUUAUAAAGCAAUUGUGGAGUGGCUUGAAUUCAAAUUCAAAAAAGACAAAAGAAUCAUCUGUAUGUUUACAUAAAGCCAAUUCACUGUUAUAUUGGUAUUCUGUACUGUUCACCCAGCAUUGUUAUCCUGACAACACACUGUGUUCUUAGCAAAUACCGAAAGAGAUUGUAUGGUGCAAAAACUAACCCACCGGUUCAAACGCUGUCUGACCCUGAAAUGACAAAAUUUGUGGGGGUAGAAAUAAUAACCUAUUAAAUUAAGCAGACAAAAAUGACGUGGUUGAGCAAGAAAAGUAGCUACACCUUCUUUGCUAAUUAAUCCUAUAAGUGGUUUCAUACCAGUAUUUUAGAAAGUCUUCCCCUUUUCUGCCAUUCUCUACUUGAUGUCAUCAAAUUUUGCAGCUUUGUUGUAGGCUCAUUUAGAAGACUAGCGUAGCUUGACUAUGUGAAGCUUUAGCAACAUCCUG